GACGUAGGGCGCGAGCGUUGUCCGGAUUUAUUGGGCGUAAAGAGCUCGUAGGCGGUUUGUCGCGUCUGCUGUGAAAACCUAAGGCUCAACCUUGGGCUUGCAGUGGGUACGGGCAGACUAGAGUGCGGUAGGGGUGACUGGAAUUCCUGGUGUAGCGGUGAAAUGCGCAGAUAUCAGGAGGAACACCGAUGGCGAAGGCAGGUCUCUGGGCCACUACUGACGCUGAGAAGCGAAAGCAUGGGGAGCGAACAGG
rnacentral:rRNA from 1 species